GUGCUGGUGGUGUAAUGGCGUAGAGCAUUCCCGCCCGGUCAGAGGGAGGUGCGGGUUCGAGUCCCGCCUGGCGCU
rnacentral:tRNA from 1 species